rnacentral:rRNA from 1 species
UACGUAGGUGGCGAGCGUUGUCCGGAUUUACUGGGUGUAAAGGGCGCGUAGGCGGAUUUGCAAGUCAGAUGUGAAAUACCGGGGCUUAACUCCGGAACUGCAUUUGAAACUGUAGACCUUGAGUGCCGGAGAGGAAAGCGGAAUUCCUAGUGUAGCGGUGAAAUGCGUAGAUAUUAGGAGGAACACCAGUGGCGAAGGCGGCUUUCUGGACGGUAACUGACGCUGAGGCGCGAAAGUGUGGGUAGCAAACA